rnacentral:rRNA from 1 species
UCAGGACGAACGCUGGCGGCGUGCCUAAUACAUGCAAGUCGAACGGUCUUUCUAUGGAAGCUUGCUUCCACUGAGAAGAUAGUGGCGAACGGGUGAGUAACACGUGGGUAACCUGCCCAUAAGAGGGGGAGUAACAUCCGGAAACGGGUGCUAAUACCGCAUAGUUUUCUUGAUCGCAUGAUCGGGAAGGAAAGACGGCCUUUGUGCUGUCGCUUAUGGAUGGACCCGCGGCGUAUUAGUUAGUUGGUGAGGUAACGGCUCACCAAGACGAUGAUACGUAGCCGACCUGAGAGGGUGAUCGGCCACAUUGGGACUGAGACACGGCCCAAACUCCUACGGGAGGCAGCAGUAGGGAAUCUUCCGCAAUGGACGAAAGUCUGACGGAGCAACGCCGCGUGAGUGAAGAAAGGUUUUCGGAUCGUAAAACUCUGUUGUCAGAGAAGAACAAGUUGGAGAGUAACUGCUCCAGCCUUGACGGUAUCUGACCAGAAAGCCACGGCUAACUACGUGCCAGCCGCUGC